rnacentral:rRNA from 1 species
GACGAACGCUGGCGGCGUGCUUAACACAUGCAAGUCGAACGGAAAGGCCCUGCUUUUGUGGGGUGCUCGAGUGGCGAACGGGUGAGUAACACGUGAGUAACCUGCCCUUGACUUUGGUAUAACUUCAGGAAACUGGGGCUACUACCGGAUAGGAGCUCCUGCUGCAUGGUGGGGGUUGGAAAGUUUCGGCGGUUGGGGAUGGACUCGCGGCUUAUCAGCUUGUUGGUGGGGUAGUGGCUUACCAAGGCUUUGACGGGUAGCCGGCCUGAGAGGGUGACCGGCCACAUUGGGACUGAGGUACGGACCAGACUCCUACGGGAGGCAGCAGUGGGGAAUAUUGCACAAUGGGCGGAAGCCUGAUGCAGCAACGCCGCGUGCGGGAUGACGGCCUUCGGGUUGUAAACCGCUUUCGCCUGUGACGAAGCGUGAGUGACGGUAAUGGGUAAAGAAGCACCGGCUAACUACGUG